ACCCGCCUAGCUCAAUGGUUAGAGCGUGGGACUUUUAAGACGCGUUCUACACGCGCAAACACAAUCCCAAGGUUGCGAGUUCGAGUCUCGCGGUGGGUG